rnacentral:rRNA from 1 species
UGGGGGAUAUUGCGCAAUGGGGGGAACCCUGACGCAGCAACGCCGCGUGAAGGAAGAAGGUUUUCGGAUCGUAAACUUCUUUAAGUGUGGAAGAUAAUGACGGUACACACAGAAUAAGCCACGGCUAACUACGUGCCAGCAGCCGCGGUAAUACGUAGGUGGCAAGCGUUGUCCGGAUUUACUGGGUGUAAAGGGCGUGUAGGCGGGUGUGCAAGUCAGAUGUGAAAUACCGGGGCUCAACCCCGGGGCUGCAUUUGAAACUGUAUAUCUUGAGUGUCGGAGAGGAAAGCGGAAUUCCUAGUGUAGCGGUGAAAUGCGUAGAUAUUAGGAGGAACACCAGUGGCGAAGGCGGCUUUCUGGACGAUAACUGACGCUGAGGCGCGAAAGCGUGGGGAGCAAACA